rnacentral:rRNA from 1 species
AAGUGGGAUGUAAAGGCCAGAGCUCAACCUNGGAACUGCAUUCAGACCUGGCGAACUAGAGUAUGGUAGAGGUGAGUGGAAUUUCCUGUGUAGCGGUGAAAUGCGUCAGAUGGGACGGAACAUCAGUGGCGAAGGCGACUCACUGGACCAAUACUGACGGUGAGGUANCAAAGGGUGGGUAGCAAACAGGAUUAGAUACCCUGGUAGUCCACGCCGUAAACGAUGUAUACUAGCCGUUGGGGUCCUUGAGACUUUAGUGGCGCAGCUAACGCAAUAAGUAGACCGCCUGGGGAGUACGGUCGCAAGAUUAAAACUCAAAAGAAUUGACGGGGGCCCGCACAAGCGGUGGAGCAUGUGGUUUAAUUUGAAGCAACGCGAAGAACCUUACCUACUCUUGACAUCCAGAGAAUUUAGCAGAGAUUCUUUAGUGCCUUCGGGAACUCUGAGACAGGUGCUGCAUGGCUGUCGUCAGCUCGUGUUGUGAAAUGUUGGGUUAAGUCCCGUAACGAGCGCAACCCUUGUCCUUAGUUACUAACAUUAAGUUGAGAACUCUAAGGAGACUGCCGGUGACAAACCGGAGGAAGGGGGGGACGACGUCAAGUCAUCAUGGCCCUUUCGAGUAGGGCUACACACGUGCUACAAUGGCCAGUACAAAGGGUUGCCAAGCCGGGAGGUGGAGCUAAUCCCAGAAAGCUGGUAGUAGUCCGGAUCGGAGUCAACAACUCGACUCCGUGAAGUCGGAAUCGGUAGUAAUCGAGAAUCAGAAUGUCACGGAGAAUACGUUCCCGCCCCUACACACCCCCCCCGUCACACCACAAGAUUGGCCCUUCCAGAAGUCGAGACUCAGUAAGUCGUAACAAGCUGACCACUAGA